GAAACGACUGCUAAUACCGCAUGACGCAUUUUGAUCGCAUGGUCGAAAUGCCAAAGAUUUAUCGCUGAAAGAUGGCCUCGCGUCUGAUUAGAUAGUUGGCGGGGUAACGGCCCACCAAGUCGACGAUCAGUAGCCGGACUGAGAGGUUGACCGGCCACAUUGGGACUGAGAUACGGCCCAGACUCCUACGGGAGGCAGCAGUGGGGAAUAUUGGGCAAUGGGCGCAAGCCUGACCCAGCAACGCCGCGUGAAGGAAGAAGGCUUUCGGGUUGUAAACUUCUUUUAAGUGGGAAGAGCAGAAGACGGUACCACUUGAAUAAGCCACGGCUAACUACGUGCCAGCAGCCGCGGUAAUACGUAGGUGGCAAGCGUUGUCCGGAUUUACUGGGUGUAAAGGGCGUGCAGCCGGGCAUGCAAGUCAGAUGUGAAAUCUCAGGGCUUAACCCUGAAACUGCAUUUGAAACUGUAUGUCUUGAGUGCCGGAGAGGUAAUCGGAAUUCCUUGUGUAGCGGUGAAAUGCGUAGAUAUAAGGAAGAACACCAGUGGCGAAGGCGGAUUACUGGACGGUAACUGACGGUGAGGCGCGAAAGCGUGGGGAGCGAACAGGAUUAGAUACCCUGGUAGUCCACGCUGUAAACGAUGGAUGUUAGGUGUGCGGGGACUGACCCCCUGCGUGCC
rnacentral:rRNA from 1 species